rnacentral:misc_RNA from 1 species
UGGGCUUGACAUGCGCCAGACAUCCCUAGAGAUAGGGCUUCCCUUGUGGUUGGUGUGCAGGUGGUGCAUGGCUGUCGUCAGCUCGUGUCGUGAGAUGUUGGGUUAAGUCCCGCAACGAGCGCAACCCUUGUCCUACGUUGCCAGCACGCUCUUCGGGGUGGUGGGGACUCGUGGGAGACCGCCGGGGUCAACUCGGAGGAAGGUGGGGAUGACGUAGCUAAGCCUUC